GAGAGAUGGCUGAGUGGCCGAAAGCGCCCGCCUGCUAAGUGGGUAUACGGCUUUAAACCGUAUCGAGGGUUCGAAUCCCUCUCUCUCC
rnacentral:tRNA from 1 species